GGUUCUCUACCUGGGGUUUCUUCCUUUUGGAGUGUUUAGUAAGGCCCUGAUCCUUAGGAUAGCACGUUAACUCAAGAAGCACCAAAGAGCAAAAAUCUUACUGGAGAAGGAUAAUUGCAACGACUCUCCAAGGGCUCACUGUUCUUCCACCCAUCAGUAGAUGCAGUGCUGAGGAGAUAAGAACCUGCAAGGCUCAUGCAUUAUUUCACAUGCAGCAAUUUCAGAUUUAAAGCAAUUAUGAGAUAUUCAAGUUCAAAUUCCAGAGAUGGUGAUUGGAGGUCUUGUUACAGAUGACUGUGGUGAAGGCAACGUAAAUUGAUACAAUGGAGGAGUUCUGAAAUCAGAAGCAGACCAUGAUCCCCUCCUACUGCUUUGUGAUCCAGAAGGUGAUAUAAGUGAACAUCCAUUAUGUGGUAGUCCUACAGGUGUGGAUCUAUUAAUGAAAAUUAUUAAUGGAUAAGAUUUGAGGUUGCUUUCAUAGAACAAGAGACUUCAAAACCUUUUUAAUUCAUAUUGCUAGUAUUUUAAUAGCAAAUAUGAUGUAUUGUUGUCUUCUACAGAUUCCUCAUCAGAUUUUUAGAUAGACACAAUUUUUAUGUAUUGUAAGAUGCAGAAGAAAACAAAUGGUCUGAUCAAAGAAUCUGAGAUGGAAAAGAAAUAUUCUGUAGCAUAUAUUUAAAAUUUAUGCUAAGGAGGCACGUUGAGCUUGAUGAUUGUAGACUACAAGACUAUCUUUUUCUCUAACCAUUUUAUAUCUCUUCUACUAAUGCUGAUAGUUCUAAAAAAUUGAGAUCACUACUUAGAUGAAAAACACUGAAAAGCCAAUGAUGCACCCAAUGAAGAUGUUUGGUUUAAUCAGAGAAUAACUCUUGUGUAGAUACUACAUUUACACUCUUGACUUUCAGGAGAGUUAUAAAGCAGAGUGUUUAUUCCACUUUCUUAGUUGAAAUUAACUACCCUUUGUAUAAAAGCAACAUGACUUCACAUGUCCACAGGUACAGGAACUCAGAUUAUCUCUGCACAUUUUUGAAGAAAGUAAUUUCAAAAAAUAGUCUUCAAAUAAUAUGAACUUUUGUAUAGGUGACAGCUAGUUUACACAGUAACAUUCCUUAAGAUGAAGAAUAUAGCCUUUCAAUGUACAGAUUUAUAAAGGCUAGGCAAAAGUUAAAUUUCAGUGUCUCAGAAGAGACUGUAACAUCCUUAAAAGGUUUUUAAUUACCUUGUAGAUACUGCUGUACUUUGACUUGAUGUUAUUCCAGAUGACUGAGAACUUCUGUAGGAUACACUACCUGUACGAAUUACAUUUUUUAAAACAGAGCCAAAAUGAAUUAUCCUCUUUAAUUAGGAGAUAGCUUUGAAAAAUAUGAUUAAUAUCUUAAUUGCUUUAUUUGGGACAAAUUCACGAUCAGUUUAUUCAAGAAUAAGAAUUGGUGCAAAAUUACAAUAGAAAAUUAAAUAUAUGGCUAUGGCUGAU